CAGGCCUAACACAUGCAAGUCGAACGGUAACAGGAUGUGCUUGCACAUCGCUGACGAGUGGCGGACGGGUGAGUAAUGCUUGGGAACUUGCCUUUGCGAGGGGGAUAACAGUUGGAAACGACUGCUAAUACCGCAUAAUGUCUACGGACCAAACGGGGCUUAGGCUCCGGCGCAGAGAGAGGCCCAAGUGAGAAUAGCUAGUUGGUGAGGUAAAGGCUCACCAAGGCGACGAUCUCUAGCUGUUCUGAGAGGAAGAUCAGCCACACUGGGACUGAGACACGGCCCAGACUCCUACGGGAGGCAGCAGUGGGGAAUAUUGCACAAUGGGGGGAACCCUGAUGCAGCCAUGCCGCGUGUGUGAAGAAGGCCUUCGGGUUGUAAAGCACUUUCAGUUGUGAGGAAAAGUGAGUAGUUAAUACCUGCUCACCGUGACGUUAACAACAGAAGAAGCACCGGCUAACUCCGUGCCAGCAGCCGCGGUAAUACGGAGGGUGCGAGCGUUAAUCGGAAUUACUGGGCGUAAAGCGCACGCAGGCGGUUUGUUAAGCUAGAUGUGAAAGCCCCGGGCUCAACCUGGGACGGUCAUUUAGAACUGGCAGACUAGAGUCUUGGAGAGGGGAGUGGAAUUCCAGGUGUAGCGGUGAAAUGCGUAGAUAUCUGGAGGAACAUCAGUGGCGAAGGCGACUCCCUGGCCAAAGACUGACGCUCAUGUGCGAAAGUGUGGGUAGCGAACAGGAUUAGAUACCCUGGUAGUCCACACCGUAAACGCUGUCUACUAGCUGUUUGUGACUUUAAGUCGUGAGUAGCGAAGCUAACGCGAUAAGUAGACCGCCUGGGG
rnacentral:rRNA from 1 species